GGGGGGGGGGGGGGGCGGGCGGGGGGGGGGGUGGGCGAGCGGGGGGGGCCUGCGUGGGUGGGGGGCGCGCGGGGCGCACGGGUUCUGAACACGUUGGUCACCGUCCCUUGCCUUUGGGAUAACUUGCGGCCACUGGGUCUAAGACCGGAGAGGAGCUCCUUCUGCAUGGUGGUUGUUGGCCAGCUUGGGCGGUUGGGGAUGGACGCGCGGCUUACUCGCGUUUUGGUGGGGUAGUGUCCGACCAAGGGGUUGCCGGGUAGCCGGACUGAGAGGGUGACCGGCCAAAUUGGGACUGAGAUACGGCCCAGACUCCUACGGGAGGCAGCAGUGGGGAAUAUUGCACAAUGGGCGGAAGCCUGAUGCAGCAACGCCGCGUGCGGGAUGACGGCCUUCGGGUUGUAAACCGCUUUCGCCUGUGACGAAGCGUGAGUGACGGUAAUGGGUAAAGAAGCACCGGCUAACUACGUG
rnacentral:rRNA from 1 species